UGGCGCCCCUCUGGCAGAGUCACGUGACGCUUCCUUCUGGUAAAGAAGGGCGGGGAGGACACGGAUCAUUUCAGAUGCGCAUGCGCGAGAGGCGUGGCGUUCCCUGUUUGGCAGGGUAACGAGUUGACGCAGCUUUCAGCGCCAUGGCUCCCUCCUAUGGCAUCAUGGGGGUUGUAGUUUGCUCUGGCAGAGACGGGUCCAACAAAUGUUCCGCUCAGCAAAAGACAAGAGGGAUGUUCGCGCUUCUGCAGGAAUCUACCGUAUACCAUGCAGCUGUGGACAAGUCUACACAGGAACCACCAAACGCAGCACUGCCCAAAAACGAAUCAAGAAACAUGAAAGGCACUGCAGACUAACUCAACCAGAGAAGUCAGCCAUAGCAGAGCUCUUGGACCAACCUGAAGGGAAGUCAUAGGAAGGAGGGAGCAAGUUUAUUUUCUGCUGCCCUGCAGACUAGGACACGGAACAAUGGCUUCAAACUACAGGAAAGGAGAUUCCACCUGAACAUCAGGAAGAACUUCCUCACUGUGAGGGCUGUUCGACAGUGGAACUCUCUCCCCCGGACUGUGGUGGAGGCUCCUUCUUUGGAGGCUUUUAAGCGGAGGCUGGAUGGCCAUCUGUCGGGGGUGCUUUGAAUGCGAUUUCCUGCUUCUUAGCGGGGGGUUGGACUAGAUGGCCCAUGAGGUCUCUUCCAACUCUACUAUUCUAUGAUUCUACCUGGACAUAGCAUAUCAUUUGAGAACGCAGAAAUGCUGGUUUCCAACAUAUGACAACCAUUCAAUGCUCAAAGAAAACCAUAGAAACAGUUUAAAUCAAGACAAAGCACAUUAGACAAUAUAAACAACUUAAUAAUAAUAAUAAUAAUAAUAAGUUUAUUUAUAUCCUGCCUCCAUCUCCCCUGAAGGAGACUUGGGGUAGCUUACAGCAAAAUCAGAUACAAAACCAUGACAAAACAUGAAACAAAAAAAAUAACAACAACCAAUAAUAAUAUAUACGCAAUAACUGAAAAAACAAAAACGCAGUAUUAAAACAUUGAAUUAAAAACAAUGAGGUUGCAAUCAUGGAUAAGCAAAUUGCACAUUAUGGGUUUCAAUAGUGGAUAAGCAAAUUCAUAAAUAGAUAAAGUGCAACAGAUUCAUUUAAGGUCACAUUGGAUUGGGAGGAGCCCUGAAUUAAUGUCAAGUAAUGAGGAGAAGUGUGACCAACACAAAAGGUCGAGGAGUAUAAUUGUAAUUAUGAUGGGGAUGGGCGAUCUUAACCAAAGGCCUGGGUGAAAAGCCAGGUUUUCAGGCUCUUCCAAAAUGCCAUCAAGGUGGGGGCUUGCCUGAUCUCCCUAGGCAGCGAGUUCCAGAGCCGGUGGGCCACUACAGAGAAGGCCCUCUCUCUCAUCCCCACCAACUGCACUUGUGACGCUGGCGGAAGUGAAAGGAGGGCCUCCCCCGAUGACCGAAGAGACCAUAUAGCUUCAUUAACUGUAACUUAAUAAACAAAAUAAUGGCAAAUAAAAUAAAGACUAAAAAAUGAAAAAAGAAAUAAAAUUAAAAAACAUCAUGAAAAACAAAAACCCUGAUAAAACACAUUAAAAAUAAAAUAUAUAUUAUUUUAUAUUUGCUAACUUGAGCUAACCCUGCUGAGCGUCUCAGAUCAGACGGGAUCUGUGAAGUAGAGAUUUAAUGCAUUUGCUAAGCAAUAAAGUUGCACUUUUGGAGAAGCUUAGAACAGCAAGCAGCCUGCCUCACAGAAUGGUUUGGGGCAGCCUUCUUACUAGAUCCAGGGGUAUCCCUAUUGUGUGGGUAUAUAUGCCUUCGGUUUGGCUGUCAUGGCGAUGUUAUGAAUUUCAUAGGAUUUUCUUAGGCAGGGAAUAGUCAGAGGGGGUUUUGCCAGUUCCUUCCUCUAAAAUACAGCCUGCAGCAUCUGGACCUGUGGUGACACAAUGGGUUAAAUCCUUGUGCCAGCUGGGCUGCAGGUCUAAAAGUAGGGUUGCUGACCUGAAGGUUGCCAGUUCGAAUACAUGAAUUGGGGUGAGCUCCUGUCUGUCAGCUAUUGCUUGCCGGCAUGAGAGAAGCCUCCCAGCAGGAUGGUAACACAUCUGGAUAACGUCUCUGUAAACAGCCAAUUAUCUCACACUAGAAGCAACUUGCAGUAUGUUCUCAAGCUGCUUCUGACAUGAUAAAAAAAACCUGGAACUUAUUGACCCAAAUAUUAACCAAGGUUGACCCUGAUUAGCUUCCAAUUUCAGAUGGGAUCUGGUGUCCUUGGGGUUCCCUUCAAUUUGAUUUAUGAUAUAUAAUGUCACUAGCUGUGCCCGGCCACGCGUUGCUGUGGCGAAGUCUGGUGGUAUGGGAAAUAAAGUAUUGAGGAAUUGGUGGUAGUUAAGGUAAAGGGUAAAGGUUUUCCCCAGACAUUAAGUCCAGUCGUGUCUUACUCUGGAGGUUGGUGCUCAUCUCCAUUUCUAAGCCGAAGAGCCGGCGUUGUCCGUAGACUCCUCCAAAGUCAUGUGGGAUGACUGCAUGGAGCGGCGUUACCUUCCCGCCGGAGCAGUACCUAUUGAUGCACUCACAUUUGCAUGUUUUUGAACUUCUGGGUUGGCAGAAGCUGGGGCUAACAGUGGGGGCUCUCUCCGCUCCCCCAAUUCAAACCUGUGGCCUUUCGGUCCAGAAGUUCAGCAGCUCAGCGCUUUAACACGCUGCAUCAUCAGGGGAUAUUAUUUCCUAAAGGUUGUGAAUAUACAAUAUUUCUGAAUGGUUUUUUUUUGUUUGUUGGAGGCAAGUAUGAAUGCUGCAAUUAGGAAAAAUGAUUAGGAUGUAAUGGCCUUGCAGCUUUAAAGCCUGGCUGUUUCCUCCCUGAGUGAUUUUUUUGUUGGGAGGUGUUAGCUGGCCCUGAUUGUUUCCUGUCUGGAAUUCCCUUGUUUUCAGAGUGGUGUUGUUUGCGAUAUUUUAUGUGCUUCUACUGUCUGUGGCCCUGAGAAAACAGAGGAUUUUCCAGACUUUGAUGAUAGGAAUACUUUGUUGGGAGAUGUUAGCUGGCCCUGACUGUUUCCUGUGUGGAAUUCCCCUGUUUAUUUACUGUCCUGGUUUUAGAGAUUAUAUUGUUCUGCAUUAUUCUAUCCCAGUAAUUAUUUCAUAUUAAAGAAGAAUCUCACUUAUCCAACAUUCGCUUAUACAAUGUUCUGGAUUAUCCAACGCAGUCUGCCUUUUCAUAAUCAAUGUUUUUGUAGUCAGUGUUUUAAAUUCAUUGUGAUAUUUUAGUGGUAAAUUUGUAAAUACAGUACAGUAGAGUCUCACUUAUCCAACAUAAACGGGCCGGCAGAACGUUGGAUAAGCGAAUAUGUUGGAUAAUGAGGAAUUAAGGAUAACCCUAUUAAACAUCAAAUUAAGUUAUGAUUUUACAAAUUAAGGACCAAAACAUCAUGUUAAACAACAAAUUUGUCAGAAAAAGUAGUUCAGUACACAGCAAUGCUAUGCAGUAAUUACUGUAUUUAUGAAUUUAGCACCAAAAUAUCACGAUAUAUUGAAAGCAUUGACUACAAAAAUGCGUUGGAUAAUCCAGAACGUUGGAUAAGUGAGUGUUGGAUAAGUGAGACUCUACUGUAAAUACUACUGCGCAUGGAACUACUUUUUCUGUCAAAUUUGUUGUAUAAUAUGAUGUUUUGGUGCUUAAUUUGUAUAACGAUUACCUAAUUUGAUGUUUAAUUGGCUUUUCCUGAAUCCCUUCUUAUUAUCCAACCUUUUCACUUAUCCUGCCAGCCUGUUUACGUUGGAUAAGUGAGACUCUAUAUUUCUAAUCUUAUAUUAUCUGCUCAGAACUGGAUUAUAUGAGGCCCCUUCUUCACAGCUGUAUAAAAUGCACACUGAAGUGGAUUAUAUGGCAGUGUGGAGUCAAGAUAAUCCAGUGCAAAGCAGAUAAUAUAAGAUUAUAAAUGGGUUCUAUAGCUGUGUGGAAGGGCCUUGAGUCUACACUGCCAUAUAAUCCAGUGCAAAUUAGAUAAUCUGUGGAAGAAGUCUAAGUGAGGCCUAAAUUUGCCUGUCCCCUAACUGAAACCUGGCUGUCCCUUGGUUGCUAGGCAACGAAGUGGGCAGAGAUUAGCCCUCUAAACUGGCAGCAAUUGGAUAAAAAAAAUUAUUGCUCUCCCUCUAAUUAGGACUUUAUUUUUCUUUUCUUUUUGUUGUAUCAACCUUGAGGCGUGGAUGAUGGGUUGUGUUGUCAAAUUUUGAGGUUGGGGGGCCUGUACUUUUGUUGUUUUGUGAAUUGCCAUGAUGCCAUCACUCUUUUAUAUAUAUAGAUUGGCAGUAUUCCAUCCAUGUACUAACCAGGGCUGACCCUGCUUAGUUUCCAAGAUCAGAGAGGAUCUGGUGACUGCGAGGUCUUUGCAUAGUGAUUUAAUUUAUUUCCUUAUAUAGUGGCACUUUUGGAGAAGCAUAGAAGAGCAGACUUGCCCAACAGAAGUCCUUCAAAUGAGGAUGCGUUAAGAAAUACUAACUUGACCCAUGUCUUCUAGCAAGACUGCCAUAACUUCAAGGGCAGAACUGCAGUAGAUAGUGAGUUUUUCUGUACCAUAUCCCACUAUGAGGGAACUUGUAUAUAGAUAGAUUCAAACAUCAGAAGUGAUGCAGAAUAGGCCGAUGUUAUACUGUAAGACAGACUUCUUGCACUCCAAUGAAGAAGUAAUUUCUCCAGAAGGCUUACUGCAUGAUAGCUAUGCUUGUGUAUUGACUAUAAUUGGCCCUUUUAAUCUAAAAACCUAGGGCCCUUCCACACAGCCCUAUAUUCCAGAAUAUCAAGGCAGAAAAUCUCACAUCUGAGUGUAGACUCAGAUAACCCAGUUCAAAGCAAAUAUUGUGGGAUUUUCUUCCUUGAUAUUCUGCAAUAUAGGGCUGUGUGGAAGGGCCCUAGGGCCCCUAGAUUAAAAAAACCAAGAGGAAUAAAAUCUUUCUAGUGCAACCUGCAACAACUAAUAAUGUAGCAUAAAUGUAGCUGUACACUACUAUUUCCUGUGUGAAGUGUCAUACAAGAAACAGAAACUUGCAUUCUUUUUUGCCCUGUGUCAGUUACAGUUUCAAACGGAAGGAUAAAAUUGACAACUUGUAAAUAAAAUUACUUCUUAGAAAUGUCUCUAACUUAUGGUACUUGCAAGCUAAAUGCAUGCCUCUUGCUAGUUUAUGAAGUACAGGCAGUCCCCAACUUACAAAGAAGAAGACUGUCCAACUCUGAUCAAAUUGUUAUUCUCAUCUUGUUCAAUGUAAAUGUGCUUAUAUAUCCUUUUAAUAAUAAUAGAGUAAAAUAAUACAUGUAAUAAUAAUAAUAAUAAAUACAGGAAAAUAAUACAAGUAAUAAUAAAUAGAGUAAAAUAAUAAAUGCAAUAAUAAUAAUAAUAAUAAUAAUAUCAGAGUAAAAUAUUAAAUGUAAUAAUAAUAAUAAUAAUAAUAAUAGAGUAAAAUAAAUGUAAUAGUAGCAACAAUAAUAGAGAAAAAUAAUAAAUGUAAUAAUACCAAUAAUAAUAGAGAAAAAUAAUAAAUGUACCAUAUAUUCUCGAGUAUAAGCUGAUCCAAAUAUAAGCUAACCAGGACCCUUACCCGAGUAUAAGCCGAGGGGGGCUUUUUCAGUCUUUAAAAAAGGGCUGAAAAACUAGGCUUAUACUCAAGUAUAUACAGUAUAUUAAAGGUGUGCAAUUUUUUCAUUAGUCCUCGUAAAGUCAGAUCAAAUUAGUUAAAUUCAUACUUACGGCAUGAUAGCAGACACUUGGGUGUGGCCCACCACAAAAACUUAAGAUUAGAAACUUACCCAAUACUUCUUUAUUUCAAUUUUGUAAACCUAGGAAGCCUUCCAAAGUCAGUUUCAUUUUCAGUGCAAGCAAACAAAGCAAAGCCAAAAAGGCUGCCUUUCCUCUUUAAAUUAAUGACCUCUUGCCAUUAGAGGAGGAAGUUAGUAGGGAGAAAGCACAGUUCACCAGGAAAGAAAGCAUAGAAUUCUGGGCCCCUGGGACUCCUCCCAAAAGCCUAGAGGAGUGGGAUGGUAACCUCUCCGCUCUAAGCCCCCAUUCCCUCUUCCCAAACUUAAAGGUGCUACUAGCUACACAGGCCUCUACGGAGAGCUCUGUAGCCAUGUCAGAAUGAAGCUUGGGGGGGGGGGGGGGAGUAGGAGUAGGAGAGAAAAUUCUUCCUGGGAAGUGCUUCAACAGAAAAAUUGGUAUGACAGGUAGAAGUAACAUAGAAAGAAUAAGGAUCAAUUCUGACACCACAAAAAGAUUAGUUCAGCAUGUUUUUGGAAACAUUUUAUUCAGACUAACAGUACACACACAUGACAAGAAAUUACAUUCUAGAAGUAAACAAUUUUUCUUUUAAUCCCGGAGACCACAAGAGGGGUUCUUUUGAAAUACAAAGAUGGAUUGCCUGGUCUUUUUUUAAAGCUCAUACAUUUUACUGUACUCACCAUGGCACUGCCUUUCCGCUGUGGUGGGAUUCCUGUGAGACAGGAGGCUAUGCUGACAACAGCAAUGCUGCUGGUAACUUCUUCCAUAGUAGACUUUACUGGGGAUCCAGACGAAUUGUGCCAAACAGUUACUGGACAGCAGCACUAGUGGUGUGUGUGCCUAUGUGUGACAGUGACAGAGGAUUUCUCAGAGAUGAUGACAAUGGCAUCAUAGUGAAAUCUGUUAGUAAAGAAGGUUUUUAACUUUUAAAAAAAAGAACUGGUGGGAUCACAAACCUGCAAAGAUAAUGGAAAAUGAACACGCAAAGAUACUGUGGGACUUCCGAAUCCAGACUGACAAAUUUCUGGAACACAACACACCAGGCCUCACAGUUGUGGAAAAGAAAAAGGGUUGGAUCAUGAAUGUCGCCUUACCAGGUGACAGUCGCAUUGACGAAAAAACAACAGGAAAAACUCAGUCGCUAUCAGGACCUCAAGAUUUGGAAACAAUAGACAUUGACAAAAUUAUGAUCUGCCAACUGCAAAAGGCCACCCUACUGGGAUCUGCAUGCAUCAUCUGAAAAUACAACACACAGUCCUAAACACUUGGGAAGUGAUCGACUUGUGAUUUUGUGAUACGAAAUCCAGCAUAUCUAUCUUGUUUGCUUAUGUCAAUAAUAAUAAUAAUAACAAUAAAAGGAAGCAUUGCCAACUCAAUUUCAGUGGCUUUUACCAUGAAAACCCUAUAAUAAGACAAACCAAAACAACACAACAACAAAAAAUUACAAGCUGCGAGCCAGUGGGGUGUAGUAGUUUGAGCAUUGAACUACAUUCUGAAGAUCAGGGUCUGAAUCCGUGCUGAUUAAUGGAAACCCACUGGGUGACGCUGGACCAAUCGUAGUCUCAUCCUUUGCGGAAGAGAAAAGCAAUCCCCCCAACAAAUCUUGCCAAGGAAACCUAUAACAAGUUUAUUUUAGGGUCACCAUAAGUCAAAAGGUUUCAUGGGUUAAAUUCUUUUAAUUUCAUAGCACUCCUACUGAAGUCCCAUUUUUCAUGUUAUGGGGACAUUACAGCUUUUGUAGCAUGCAGAGGUGCUCGAAGUUGGAAGAGAAACCAAUUCUCCUGGGCUUUCUGACUAAGCCCUUUCAGGUGGAAAUUUAUAAAACAAUGUCCUGCUGUUCUAUAAGCUGUUUAUUUCAACAGAUCUGAUCCAGAAGACAUUUCCAUUAGAACCCAGGUGAUGCCAGGAGUUAGGAAACUCUGGAAACUCUUGAAAGCAAGCUAUGGAGUCCAGAUAGGCAGCUAUACCUCUGGAUACUAGUAUCUGGCUGGACAAUUCCAGAUGUGAUUUAUCACGUGUCUGUAAAAAAUUGGUGACAGUCUUUCAACCUUAAAGAAAGGGCAAACUGCCUCUGAUAGAUUAGCUUGAGGGUUACUUUAUGGUUCCCGUCCCCUUGAUCUGGUCAUUUUUUGUGAUGUCCCAGGCACCUUUGGCCCCUGAUCCCGCAGCCAUUGCUGAUCAAACUGAAGAGGAUUUGGGUUUUUUCCCACCGCAGCAAGAUUCAAUCCCUUUCCAGAUGUCUCCUGUUGACAUUGCCGUGCCAGAGCCAAUUAGGAAUGACCUUGAGAUGUUGCCGGCUCUUCCCGGAUCUCCGGAGAGUUUGGAGUUUGAUAGAAGGGCUACUUUCAAAACAGAUCGCUCUCAAAGACAAAGUUUAAGGAGAAGUGUGAGAUUAGCAGAGUGAGGCGAUUGUGGCUAAGCCAGUUCUCUUGGGAAGAAUUGGGGAGGCAGGCAUCUGGCGCCUCGUUCUUAGCAGCUCGUUUCUCUUGGGAAGAUUUGGGGAGUCAAGCACCUGCUUGGGGGACUUCAAUAAAAGUUCUGCGCAGAGAAUCUCUGUUGCGGUGUCAACUGAACUUCUGAUGGAAGAAUACAUCGUCUCUUGAUCCUGAGCUUCCAAGCGGCCUGCUGGCACGCUUACUCUCGAGUAGACCGGGUGGUGCGUCCUGUCCCUUGCCAAGUUUGGACAGCAUUUCAGAUCCAUCACGAACAGCCCUAGCCUUGCCUUGAAACCUUGCUCUGAACUAUUACUUCAAGUAUUUUCCUGAGGAACUUUACUUCUUUCCCCACUCAAACUUCCAUUAAGUUUGAGUGUGUUUCGGUUAUUGGAUUUUGGACUUUGGACUCUAAUAUUGGACAUAAAACUUUCAUUUUUUGGACUAACUUUGAUCUUUCCUAAAAGGUCAACUGCUUGACUAUCUAUUCUGCUUGUUUUUGUUUGAAACUUUUAUUGCUUUAAUAAAGAUAUUAGAUUGUU